GUGACGUCACAGAGGCUCCGUCCAGCUUUUAUAUACAGUCUAGGGUUCAGACGCAGUGUUACUGAACACCUGCACCCAAGUCUAAUGGGGAAUGAGCUGC